GGUGAAGCACAAACACACACUUUUGGCGACAUCUUGCUUUUGGUGCAGGAUAGACGGGAUUUCAUUCACAAGAACAACAAUGCAGUUAAGACAUCACACUCACUGUUUCCAUAUAGUAAUUAAGAUUCAUUGAUCCGGACCAUUUCAUACACGCAAGCAUUCCUGAUGGAGGGAGACAGGGAGGAGGAGGAGGAGGAGACGUUGCUGCCGACAGUCAGAGGAGGAGGAGAAAAGAGACAGGUGACAUCAUCCAGCUGUGCCAUUUGCCAAAACCUGUGUCAAAUCCACAACCUUCACACCCGCGACGGUGGAAAUUGACCUCUUUAGUCUCACUCUCCUGAUGCGCUUUCAUCCGCCUGACGUCAGAGUGGAGAAGAAGACAGGCUCAGCCUCUCUGAUUGGUCAGAGAAGACAACACCCUCAGCCCUGGCUUACUGAGCCUGAGUGGAUGUUGGGGAUGGAUUUAAGGAAUCCCUCAGCGGCUUAUCAACACAGCUCACUUUCCCAAGGACACUGCCGAUUCCCAUAUCCAUGAUCCUGGAUUCCUGGCCUAUAUUUCCACCGUGGAAUCUGGAUCUCUGCAUUCACCUAGCCUCAAGCUUCAAAGGAAAUGUGCCUGUCAGGGAAGGCAACUUGUACCUCGCCAGGGAAACAUACAGAAUACAAACACAUCCUAGAGAAGACUGGUUUGUGUUUGAAUAAAAUCUACUGAUGGAAAGUCUCUUGCAUUAUUAUGUGUAUUAUUGUUUAACUGGUAACUUAAACAUUUUAUUCACCACAACACUUCACAACAGUUAACUGAAACACUGCUGAAGAUGUGCAUAACGUGAUUAUGUGUGUGUGUGUGUGUGUGUGUGUGUGCGUGUGUGUGUGUGUGUGUGAGGGCGUGUUUGUUCUCUCUUACCUUGAUAUUACAUCACUGAUGGCCUAAGACUAUAUCCUGAUGCUCUCACAGU
rnacentral:lncRNA from 15 species